rnacentral:rRNA from 1 species
UACAGAGGGGGCAAGCGUUAUUCGGAAUUAUUGGGCGUAAAGGGCGCGUAGGCGGCCUGACAAGUGGAAGGUGAAAUCCCUCGGCUUAACCGAGGAACUGCCUUCCAAACUGUUUGGCUUGAGUCCGGGAGGGGCGAGUGGAAUUCCCAGUGUAGCGGUGAAAUGCGUAGAUAUUGGGAGGAACACCAGUGGCGAAGGCGGCUCGCUGGACCGGAACUGACGCUGAGGCGCGAAAGCGUGGGGAGCAAACAGG